GUCUUACUCCUGUUGGUUGAAGAUGGAAGAAGUCUUGCAUUUGUACUUCCUUGUGCAGGGGCCCACAUAUGGGUGUUCCGUCAUUCCAGUAACUUUACAUUGCUUGGUAAUUGACUGGUUUUCCAAAGAGAAGGGAACUGAAUUGUCUCCCCCUCCUCUGCACACACUUUGUUGUUUUAAGUCUGCACCUUUGCUUGCUGUUGCCUCCACUGCUUGGAAUGCGCCAUCUUCUCAGCCUCAGCCUGGUCAGCAGUUACUGGGUCAGUAAGAGUCAGCUGAGGUCUCACUCUGUGAAGUUUCCCUGACCUCAUUUUGACCUCCUAGACUGGCCAAGGUUCCCCUUUUCUGUACUCCCAUGCCGUACUGGGUAUUGCUCUCUCCAGUGCACAGUUAUCACACCAUACUACAAAGACCUGCCUCUCUCACUGGGCUCUCCAUCCCUUUAAGGCUGGCACAUAGCACUCACUCAUGACAUGGUUGUUGAAUGAAUGAAUGGCCUUCCUCCAUUCUCUCCCAGUCCUUUUUUUUUUUUUUUUUUUCACUCUGGGCACCACCAUUCCUUCUCUCUCAUUCUGCAUUGUUUAUGGCUUGUUAGUUAUUAAUGCAAAGCCAUUUCUGGGUCUCUAGACCCAUUGGUAAUGGCCAUUGGUAAUGUCUCUAGGUGUUAAUAAUAACACUAGCUCACAUCUACUGAGCACUUACUAUUUGGCUGGCACUGUUCUAAGCACUUUGCAUGUUUAAACUCCUUUAAACGUUCCUUUGUUGCCGCUUUUUUUUCUGCUAGGGACUAACCUUGACAUUGUGGGGGAGAGGUGUUCUCGUAUAGCUGUGGGACUGUAACAUGGCUUUAUUUUCCUAUUAUGUGCAGGACAGUAAAUCCUGCAGAGGAAUACAAGUUGACUAGGUCUGUCAUCACUCAAAUACUGGAAGAUAUGGCUGGGAAAAAACCAACAACAAAAAGUUUUGAUAUCCUCAUAGUGCAAUGACAUUACAGUUUUAUUUUGUUUUGUUUUUUUCUUUAUGCGUAGUUCUAAAUUACUGUAUUAUGUUUCAGGUAAUUAAGCCAGAAGAACAAAUUGGGAUGGACUGUUGUAUUUACAUUUCAGUUUACUAGAGGUAGCCUUGAAAUAGUUACAAAAAUAUGAAUAUCAGUGGGGAAAAAAAUAAGGGGGAUUUUCAUUUUUUUUUUUCCAGAAACGAUAAAUUGGCAAGGAAGACAGAUACGGGAAAAUCAGUCAUGAGAAUUUGUCUUUCAGUGACUCUUUCUUGGCUGGGAAGAAAAGCUUUUCUUCUAUUUAGUUGAGAACAGUGACAAGGAUUAUUUUACUUGAGGAUGGCAGAUUAUUUUACCAGCAGCUGGCAGAUGAGAAUAAUUCCCUAGACAACAAGGAGGGGCAGUAUGGUAGGGAGGGAACCCGGUUCGGAGGGUCUGGGGUUCACAGCUCCACAGUGCUGCUUACCAGCUCUUAGCCUUCAUUACAUUGCUUACCUUCCUGGAGGUUCAGUUUCCUUAUCCAUAAAAUGGGGGUCAGGUUGCCAAAUUUAUCAAAUAAGAAUCUAGGAUGUCCAGUUAAAGCUGAAUUUCAGAUAAAUAAUUAUUUUUUAGUGUAAAUAUGUCCCAUAAAAUAUUUAUGUCCCAUGCAAUAACUAUGUCCCUAAUGGUGCGUGGGACAUAUGCUAAAACAUUAUUUGUUGUUUAUCUGAAAUUCAAAUUUAACUGUGCGGCCUAUAUUUUUUCUGGCAACCCUAAAUGCGGGCAGGGGCAGUGGUGGUGACAUGUAGGGAUGGUGUGAGGAUAAAAUAAUACCACAGUUAGGUUUUAUCGCAGUGUGUAGUCUGUGUGUAGUCAACACAUAACUAUAAGUAGUGACUGUAACAUAACUGUAACUGGUGCAUAGUAAAAAACAAAUGGAUAUUAUUAGUAUAAUAGUUGUUAUUAAUAAAGGUCUUUAAAUGACAAUUGGCCAUACAGGAGCCUUUGGGGAAAAGUUUCUGACUCUAAAUUAAGGGAAGGUAAAUUAUGAUCAAGAUCUGGGAAUAAGAUUUAGACUUACACAGUAAUAAUUUGAGGAAGAGAAAGACUUAGUAAAUUAGUUAUGUAAUUACAUAAUUAACAACUUGGGAGGUUUUCUUUACACGUUUAUUCCCUAGGGCAUCAUCUUUAAAUUAUAUUUAGUUUUUGCUAAGUUGACCAGUUUGUGGUUUUAAGUGUUUACUUUCUUUUCUUUUGAAAUGUAGGGAAAGCAUAUUUGACAUCAUCUUAAAGAAAUUAUGUAGCCAUAUAAAACCGGAGGGUAGGGUCUACUGGCCAGGAAAAAAAAAGGCCUUUACUGCCACCUGGUGGCCAUAUUCUUUAACUGCAAUGUGCCUAAGUGAGGCUGGAAAGGAAAGCGUUGGAAAACAUGCUAAACCCAGAGGGCACCAAGGCCGCGUCAUGACAGUAAGAGCCGUCAAGUACUGUGUCCUUUCCCUCAGUUCUCAAUCUCUCACAGCUUGAGGCUUGAGAAUUAGCAGCUGGCUACGAGAGGUGGAGGAGAGAAAAUGGUGAAGUCCAUGCCUUCCUCCUUGGUACCGAGUUUCCAAACCUGAAGUGAAGGAGUCUGAGAGGGGAGAAGCUUCAGUAUGAAAGUUUUCAAGACGCCUACAAGUGGAAAAUGCACUCCUCCCAGCCAAAUCAAGCUUCGCCAGAUUCCUUACAGCUGUGUGCAGUGAAAUGACUAAUGAAAGAGCCCUCUGCUGCUGGUGGAACUUUCACAUAUGGCACUGUUAUGCCACUCAGCAGGACCCGACCCUGGUAUUUACAUAUUGGAUGUCACCCCAAAAGCCCCUGACCAGGGGGUUUCCGGGAUGUAAUAAGAAUGCCACUCUGGGCUUUGGAAGGUGCACCGUAUGCACACCCAUACUAUAGGGCAGGGGUUAGCAUUUCAGACCCCUGUUCCUCCCUUGACAAGCAAGUGCUUUUCUCCAGGGAAGACGUUCAGGUUCAUUCAUAGAUCCAUUGGUGCCGUGGGCAGCUCAGUAACAAUAGCUCUGCUGCCUACCAGCUGCUGGUGGAGGUGUUGAGAAUACCUAAUGAGGAAGUCAGGGCCCCUGCGUGCUUCAGCAGAGCUGGAUGCCUGGCAUGGCAAUCAAUGGACACAAACCUUUGGAUAAUUUCCGUCCUUGGCGGUGUGUUCUAUAGCAUAGGUAUGAAGUGGGUGCUCUGGGAGCUCAGAAGAGGGGCUCUUCUCUUAACUUAUGGGUGGCCAGGGAAGGCUUCCUGGAGCUCAAAUGACUGAGUGGAGUCUUCAACAUUAAAAAAAAAAAAAAGAAAAAAAAAGUGCUUCCCUCCCACCCCCAGUUAAAAAGGUAAUACACCUCAUUGAAAUAAUUUAAACUUUACAGAAAUGUGUUCCUUUAAAGUUCAGAGAGUAAAGAGGAAGUAAUAAAGCUG
rnacentral:lncRNA from 1 species